GUGAUUAUAGUUUAAUGGUUUAGGAUCCCCGCCUUCGGGUGGAGGUCCUGAGUUCAAUUCUCUGGGUGCACG